GCAAGUCGAGGGGCAGCGGGGAUAAGCUUGCUUAUCCGCCGGCGACCGGCGCACGGGUGCGCAACGCGUAUAGAAUCUGCCCUGUACUGGGGAAUAGCCCAGAGAAAUUUGGAUUAAUGCCCCAUGGUAUGUAGUAGUGGCAUCACUAUUACAUUAAAGGCUACGGUACAGGAUGACUAUGCGUCCCAUUAGUUAGUUGGUAAGGUAACGGCUUACCAAGGCGACGAUGGGUAGGGGCGCUGAGAGGGGGAGC
rnacentral:rRNA from 1 species